GAUGAACGCUGGCGGCGUGCCUAAUACAUGCAAGUCGAACGAACAGACGAGGAGCUUGCUCCUCUGACGUUAGCGGCGGACGGGUGAGUAACACGUGGAUAACCUACCUAUAAGACUGGGAUAACUUCGGGAAACCGGAGCUAAUACCGGAUAAUAUAUUGAACCGCAUGGUUCAAUAGUGAAAGACGGUUUUGCUGUCACUUAUAGAUGGAUCCGCGCCGCAUUAGCUAGUUGGUAAGGUAACGGCUUACCAAGGCGACGAUGCGUAGCCGACCUGAGAGGGUGAUCGGCCACACUGGAACUGAGACACGGUCCAGACUCCUACGGGAGGCAGCAGUAGGGAAUCUUCCGCAAUGGGCGAAAGCCUGACGGAGCAACGCCGCGUGAGUGAUGAAGGUCUUCGGAUCGUAAAACUCUGUUAUUAGGGAAGAACAAAUGUGUAAGUAACGAUGCACGCCUUGACGGUACCUAAUCAGAAAGCCACGGCUAACUACGU
rnacentral:rRNA from 1 species